AUUGAACGCUGGCGGCAGGCCUAACACAUGCAAGUCGAGCGAGAAAGCCCUUCGGGGUGAGUAGAGCGGCGGACGGGUGAGUAACGCGUAGGAAUCUACCUGGUAGUGGGGGACAACAUGUGGAAACGCAUGCUAAUACCGCAUACGCCCUAUGGGGGAAAGCGUGGGACCUUCGGGCCACGCGCUAUCAGAUGAGCCUGCGUAAGAUUAGCUAGUUGGUGGGGUAAAGGCCUACCAAGGCGACGAUCUUUAGCUGGUCUGAGAGGAUGAUCAGCCACACUGGAACUGAGACACGGUCCAGACUCCUACGGGAGGCAGCAGUGGGGAAUAUUGCGCAAUGGGGGAAACCCUGACGCAGCCAUGCCGCGUGUGUGAAGAAGGCCUUAGGGUUGUAAAGCACUUUCAGCGGGGAGGAAAAGCUUAGCGUUA
rnacentral:rRNA from 1 species